UUGACAGAAGAUAGAGAGCACGAAUAACGAGGUGCUAAUUGGAACAUGCACCUUAAUUCUUUGUGCUCUCAUUCUUUUGUCAU
rnacentral:pre_miRNA from 1 species